CGGCAGCAAGCCGUGAACAUCGUCUCAAAAACUGCUCUUUUUGCAGUGUCGUCUACGUCCGGACCCGCAGUGAACGGAGUGCAAGAAGUGUUUCGCCGGACCGCUUCUGCGAAUUUCACGUGGAUCUGCCCUUGGGACGAGGAUUCACCCGCAAGUCGUCUCUGCACAUGCGCAUCUAGCCAGCUCGGCACAAGAAAAGCGGAGCACGGUGACCCGCCCACCACUUAGCAGCAGCGGCAGCAAGCCGUGAACAUCGUCUCAAAAACUGCUCUUUUUGCAGUGUCGUCUACGUCCGGACCCGCAGUGAACGGAGUGCAAGAAGUGUUUCGCCGGACCGCUUCUGCGAAUUUCACGUGGAUCUGCCCUUGGGACGAGGAUUCACCCGCAAGUCGUCUCUGCACAUGCGCAUCUAGCCAGCUCGGCACAAGAAAAGCGGAGCACGUGUCGUCUACGUCCGGACCCGCAGUGAACGGAGUGCAAGAAGUGUUUCGCCGGACCGCUUCUGCGAAUUUCACGUGGAUCUGCCCUUGGGACGAGGAUUCACCCGCAAGUCGUCUCUGCACAUGCGCAUCUAGCCAGCUCGGCACAAGAAAAG